GCAGCACUACUGUGGGAUUAGCCGACUAAUAACUCCCAAGCCUGGGCCUUAGGACAAGAGGGCCACUAGUAGAGUGUGACACGAGUAAGCCAACGGCGAAAGGCAUUCUGAGGAGCCCUGAGGAGCCUCACUCCCUGCCGGGCAGCAGAGGACAGACACCUUCACCUGGCCAAGGGACGCUGUGGUCAGGCCCUUCCACCAUGCCCCUCCUGCCUUGGAGCCCGCUGACUAUAAACUAAAAAGGGCCCCCUUCUGAGACCAGUGUGAUGUGCAGGGCCAAGGCGGACAGGCAGCCCUUAGUUGUGCCACCUUGUGGCCACCUGUCCACACUGCAGCUGUCAGUGUGUGUUUGUAGGAAGGCACUGCAUCACCCGGGCUUAUCCACAGGAGGUUGGGCACAGCAGUGGGGAUGAGGGGCUUGCUCAGACUCACACAGCUUUAAGUUGGACCUGGGCCGCCUGGACCUGCAUUGUCACACCUCGGCUGCCUUCAGGUCUCCAGAGACAGGCGCCUCCAGUGUGCUCAGCGAAUUGCUUUCGGCUGAGUGCAGAGGCGGCAGAAGCAGGAAGCCUGGACCCCGGCACUGCCCUCCACUGCUUGCCAGCCCUGCAGGGCCGUGGGCACAAUCAAGAUUAUGCCAGGAGGUGGUGUGCAAACUGCAGCGUGCCUCACAAACGGGAAGGCACCUUCAACAUUUACAGCAAUUGUAAAUUACAGAGUCCCAGGACUGAGUUUCUAGAGGUCUGUGCGAUUUCAAACCAGACUGGUGUCCGUGUGUCGUCUCUGCGCAUGACACACAGGUGCGACCUGGGCUUAUGUUAGGCGCUGGCCGAUCAAGUGCUCAGAGCCGCUGGCCUGUGUCUGCCAGGCCUCAGAGACCCUCUGCUUGUGAUCCAUCUCACACGCGCUGAUGGCCAUCUCCUCGAAAG
ensembl:lncRNA